GACGUAGGAGGCGAGCGUUAUCCGGAUUCACUGGGCGUAAAGCGCAAGUAGGCGGCCAACUAAGUCAGACGUGAAAUCCCUCAGCUUAACUGGGGAACUGCGUCUGAUACUGGAUGGCUUGGAUUUGGGAGAGGGAUGCGGAAUUCCAGGUGUAGCGGUGAAAUGCGUAGAUAUCUGGAGGAACACCGGUGGCGAAGGCGGCAUCCUGGACCAACAUUGACGCUGAGGAGCGAAAGCCAGGGGAGCAAACGGG
rnacentral:rRNA from 1 species